rnacentral:tRNA from 1 species
CAGAGAAUAGUUUAAUAAAAAUAUUAGUUUUGGGAAUUAAAGAUAAAAGGGGAUUUUUUCUCUGA